UCGAGCGGCAAGUUGAGUAGUAAUACUUGACCUAGAGCGGCGCACGGGUGCGUAACGCGUAUGCAACCUACCUUUACUGGGGGAUAGCCCGGAGAAAUCUGGAUUAAUACCCCAUGGUAUCUACGAAUCGAAUGGUUUGUAGCUUAAAGAUUUAUACGGUAAAAGAUGGGCAUGCGUCUGAUUAGCUAGGUUGGCGGGGUAACGGCCCACCAAGGCGACGAUCAGGUAGGGUUCUGAGAGGAACGGUCCCCCACACUGGCACUGAGAUACGGGCCAGACUCC
rnacentral:rRNA from 1 species